GUCCUAGCCGUAAACGAUGGCCACUAAGUAGGGGAUCUCCAAAGGGUUCCCUGCCGGAGCUAAUGUGUUAAGUGGCCCGCCUGGGGAGUAUGGUCGCAAGGCUGAAACUCAAAGGAAUUGACGGGGGCUCACACAAGCGGUGGAGCAUGUUGUUUAAUUCGAUGCAACGCGAAGAACCUUACCUGGGCUUGACAUGUAAGUGGUAUCAAACCGAAAGGGGCGAGACCUCCUUUGGAGGAGCUUACACAGGUAUUGCACGGCU
rnacentral:rRNA from 1 species